UUUUUAUUUGCAUGCUGUUUUGUAUAUCAUAAAAACACCAUCGUAUUUUUAAUGAUAAUGAAAGUUUCAUAAAAUAUGUGAAACAUUUCCGUGUUUUUAAUUUAGAUGCAAUUUUGUAUUUUAUAAAAGAAUAUUAUUUUAAGUUUAUGACGAAAAUAGCAUGUGUAUUUACAUCUAUAGUUCAACAGAAAAAAAAUUGAAAAUGAAAAUUUUUCAAUUGUAUUAAUUUGUAAUUCCCGGGCUCUGUGAUCGAAAUGCCGCCUUUGUGAAAUGUCAUAAGGGAUCGCUUCCAGCCUAAAGUAGACGCUACUCUUUUUUUCCUCUUGGCCUCAGUGUACAUGUAGAUACGCAGUUGAAAGCAUAUAACCGCCGAGUAUCCAAGAUUCAUAAUAUUCUAUAUAAUAUAUUAUAUAUUACAAGUUUUCAAGAGAUCUAAUAAUAUACAACAACGCUGUCCAUUUGUUACUACUGUACAAGUGUUGUGACAUCGUAUAUUUUGUAUUUAAUUAAAGCAGUAUUAAUCCAGAAGAAACAGAUACGGAUAAUGGAUUAGUAAGAACACCUAAUUUUGAAGAUGUCGAGGAUGAAACUGAUGACGAUGACAGUGAUUGUGAAUCCGACAUUGGAGAAACUACGGAAGAUGAAUCAGAUACUUUCAGUAUCAUUACACACUGAUUCAUCUUCCGUAGUUUUAAUACAAGUUUUUGGAAGAAAGCCACGUACCAAUGUAUUGGCAGCGGCUUUUUUGUUUAUUUAAGUAAUUUUUUAUCAAUAAACACGCAUGCCAUUUGUUAUUGAAGUUUAAAAUAAUAUUUACAGACAAUGUACAAAAAGACAUUGAAAAAAAUAGAGAAAUUUUCCUUAUUUUUAAAUUUGUUAAUAAAUUUUUUUUAAUUUUAUUUAUGCACAAGUUUUUUAUGCCAGGCUUGUGUAAUACGCAUGCCAUUUUUUUAUCAACUUAAAAUAAUGUUUUUUAAUGAAAUAUUAAAUGGCAUGCAAAAUAAAGUCAUGGAAAUUGCAACAGCGUUUUUUGCAGUUUUCGUCAUGCAUGCCACUACUUUACAACUUUGCUUUACUUUACAACCUAGCCAAAUAUGCUAAGUCAAUAAAUUAUAAAAAUUAAGUAUUCUUCAAAUGGCAUGCAGUUUGAAAUCACGGAAAAGUCGUAUUAAAUUUUCACAACAUUUUCCUAAUAUUUCCCACCCUUGGUCAUACGAGGUGAGUUGAGAUGAAAAAAACUCAUUUUUUACAACAGCAUGCAAUUUGUAAACACGGAAAUGUGCUAUUUUUUUUUUCUUUUCUACGUAACCCUUUGAGCCCCGUCGGCUGUUGCGAAUUGCAUGCCAUCAAUGAUUAUAGCUUAAAUUUGUUCCAACUACGUUGUAUUACAAAGGCAUGCAAUAUAAUGUCACGGAAUAAUACUAAUAGUCCAAGAGCCCGUGAGUGCCAGACCUUCGGAUUUUUAUAAAAGCUGAAAAUUUUUCUAUGUGUGUCCCUAGUACAGGUAAGAAUGAUCCCCACCCAUGAAGCUGAGGCAGCGGUGGCUUUGGCAGGUAACAGGUAACAAAGGUGUAUAAAAUUCCAUCUCAAAUUUAUCAUAAAAUAAAACUGAAUUUUUUCAUAUUUGAUUCAUAAUAAUAUUAAAACUCGCGUUGCUCAUUGCCAGACAGUUAGUAUGGUUGCAACCCUCUGCCGGACACCCUUAAACUAUUAUAAUUUAUAAUUAUACUUACGUUAUAUUAUAAAACCUAAAUUUUAUAUAUAUUAUUUUUUGGGGGCCUAUUAAUCUAUGUUUACAUAAUAGCCGGACAGUUUCGACGGUUCUAUCAUCUUGCCAGACGCAUUCAAAGUGAGCAGUAAUUCGGAGAGCAAGGAGCGUAUACAGUAACUAGUGCGAGUGAGACAGAGCGUUUGGUCUACUGCGGCCCUUCAUUGCGCAUCAGCUGUUGUUUAUUGUAACUAUCUGGUGAACGGCUAUGCUCAUAAUAAAUGUAUUAUUUUUCUGUGCAGUUUAUAAAAUAAAUGUGAUCAGUUGUAAUAAAGUGCUAUCAUGAGUGACGAAAAAA